GCAAUGUAUUGGUUGGGCUUCUUAAUUAUGAAACAAAUGGGCUUUGCAAUAACAAGUUAAGUUUCUCGAUCAAGCUAAGCAAUAUCUCAGCUCGUGUGUUGAUUGUUUCUUUUCUUGGUCAAUUCCAUCAAGCUAUAUUUCUUCUAGUCACGGUUUCGUACCGUUGCCUCUAUCCGAAUCCAUGCAACCUCCCCAACCAUAUAUA